rnacentral:rRNA from 1 species
AGCAGCCGCGGUAAUUCCAGCUCCAAUAGCGUAUAUUAAAGUUGUUGCAGUUAAAAAGCUCGUAGUUGAAUUUCGGGGUUAGUAGGUUGGUCAUGCCUCUGGUAUGUACUGGUCUCACUGAUUCCUCCUUCCUGAUGAACCUUAAUGCCAUUAAUUUGGUGUUGCAGGGAAUCUGGACUGUUACUUUGAAAAAAUUGAGUGUUUAAAGCAGGCUAACGCCUGAAUACAUUAGCAUGGAAUAAUGAAAUAGGACGUUCGAUCCUAUUUUGUUGGUUUCUAGGAUUGACGUAAUGAUUAAUAGGGAUAGUUGGGGGCAUUAGUAUUCAAUUGUCAGAGGUGAAAUUCUUGGAUUUAUUGAAGACUAACUACUGCGAAAGCAUUUGCCAAGGAUGUUUUCAUUAAUCAAGAACGAAAGUUAGGG